rnacentral:rRNA from 1 species
AAGUGGUAGGAGAGCGUUCUAUUUGCGUCGAAGGUAUACCGGUAAGGAGUGCUGGAGCGAAUAGAAGUGAGCAUGCAGGCAUGAGUAGCGAUAAUUAAUGUGAGAAUCAUUAACGCCGUAAACCCAAGGUUUCCUACGCGAUGCUCGUCAUCGUAGGGUUAGUCGGGUCCUAAGUCGAGUCCGAAAGGGGUAGACGAUGGCAAAUUGGUUAAUAUUCCAAUACCAACAUUAGUGUGCGAUGGAAGGACGCUUAGGGCUAAGGGGGCUAGCGGAUGGAAGUGCUAGUCUAAGGUCGUAGGAGGUUAUACAGGCAAAUCCGUAUAACAAUACUCCGAGAACUGAAAGGCUUUUUGAAGUCUUCGGAUGGAUAGAAGAACCCCUGAUGCCGUCGAGCCAAGAAAAGUUUCUAAGUUUAGCUAAUGUUGCCCGUACCGUAAACCGACACAGGUGGGUGGGAUGAGUAUUCUAAGGCGCGUGGAAGAACUCUCUUUAAGGAACUCUGCAAAAUAGCACCGUAUCUUCGGUAUAAGGUGUGGUUAGCUUCGUACUAGGAUUUACUCCGAAAGCGAAGAAACUUACAACAAAGAGUCCCUCCCGACUGUUUACCAAAAACACAGCACUCUGCUAACUCGUAAGAGGAUGUAUAGGGUGUGACGCCUGCCCGGUGCUCGAAGGUUAAUUGAUGGGGUUAGCAUUAGCGAAGCUCUUGAUCGAAGCCCGAGUAAACGGCGGCCGUAACUAUAACGGUCCUAAGGUAGCGAAAUUCCUUGUCGGUUAAAUACCGACCUGCAUGAAUGGCGUAACGAGAUGGGAGCUGUCUCAAAGAGGGAUCCAGUGAAAUUGUAGUGGAGGUGAAAAUUCCUCCUACCCGCGGCAAGACGGAAAGACCCCGUGGACCUUUACUACAGCUUGACACUGCUACUUGGAUAAGAAUGUGCAGGAUAGGUGGGAGGCUUUGAGUAUAUGACGCCAGUUGUAUAUGAGCCAUUGUUGAGAUACCACUCUUUCUUAUUUGGGUAGCUAACCAGCUUGAGUUAUCCUCAAGUGGGACAAUGUCUGGUGGGUAGUUUGACUGGGGCGGUCGCCUCCCAAAUAAUAACGGAGGCUUACAAAGGUUGGCUCAGAACGGUUGGAAAUCGUUCGUAGAGUAUAAAGGUAUAAGCCAGCUUAACUGCAAGACAUACAAGUCAAGCAGAGACGAAAGUCGGUCUUAGUGAUCCGGUGGUUCUGUGUGGAAGGGCCAUCGCUCAAAGGAUAAAAGGUACCCCGGGGAUAACAGGCUGAUCUCCCCCAAGAGCUCACAUCGACGGGGAGGUUUGGCACCUCGAUGUCGGCUCAUCGCAUCCUGGGGCUGGAGCAGGUCCCAAGGGUAUGGCUGUUCGCCAUUUAAAGCGGUACGCGAGCUGGGUUCAGAACGUCGUGAGACAGUUCGGUCCCUAUCUGCCGUGGGCGUAAGAAGAUUGAAGAGAUUUGACCCUAGUACGAGAGGACCGGGUUGAACAAACCACUGGUGUAGCUGUUGUUCUGCCAAGAGCAUCGCAGCGUAGCUAAGUUUGGAAAGGAUAAACGCUGAAAGCAUCUAAGCGUGAAGCCAACUCUAAGAUGAAUCUUCUCUAAGCUCUCUAGAAGACUACUAGUUUGAUAGGCUGGGUGUGUAAUGGAUGAAAGUCCUUUAGCUGACCAGUACUAAUAGAGCGUUUGGCUUAUCUUU